rnacentral:rRNA from 1 species
UACGUAGGUGGCAAGCGUUGUCCGGAUUUACUGGGCGUAGAGAGCGCGCAGGCGGUCGUUCAAGUCGCGUGUGAAAGCCCCCGGCUCAACUGGGGAGGGUCAUUCGAUACUGUCCGACUCGAAGGCAGGAGAGGGAAGCGGAAUUCCCGGUGUAGUGGUGAAAUGCGUAGAUAUCGGGAGGAACACCAGUGGCGAAGGCGGCUUUCUGGCCUGUUCUUGACGCUGAGGCGCGAAAGCUAGGGGAGCGAACGGG